UCCCCUGUCGUUUAAUUGGCAGGACGCCGGGUUGUUGCCCCGGUUGUUUAGGUUCGAGUCCUAACGGGGGAGC
rnacentral:tRNA from 5 species